rnacentral:rRNA from 1 species
UGUCUUUUUGAAAAUAAUAUAAGGUUUGAUCUGCCCACUGAUUUUUAAUUGAAGGGCUGCAGUAUAUUGACUGUACAAAGGUAGCAUAAUCAUUAGUCAUUUAAUUGGUGACUUGUAUGAAGGAUUGGAUGAGAUAUAAUCUGUCUCUUAUUUAAUAAUAAAAUUUAAUUUUUAAAUUAAAAAGUUUAAAUAGUUUAAAAAGACGAGAAGACCCUAUAGAGUUUUAUAAAUAAAUUAAUUAAGGUUAUUAGGAUAGUUUAAAAUUAAAAUUAAUUUAUUUAUUUUGUUGGGGUGAUAGAAAAAUAUAUUUAACUUUUUUUUUUAGUUAAAACAUUUAUAAGUGGUUAAAUGAUCCAUUAUUAUUGAUUAUAAGAAAAAAUU